rnacentral:rRNA from 1 species
AGUGAACGCUGGCGGUAGGCCUAACACAUGCAAGUCGAACGGCAGCACAGAGGAGCUUGCUCCUUGGGUGGCGAGUGGCGGACGGGUGAGGAAUACAUCGGAAUCUACUCUGUCGUGGGGGAUAACGUAGGGAAACUUACGCUAAUACCGCAUACGACCUACGGGUGAAAGCAGGGGAUCUUCGGACCUUGCGCGAUUGAAUGAGCCGAUGGCGGAUUAGCUAGUUGGCGGGGUAAAGGACCACCAAGGCGACGAUCCGUAGCUGGUCUGAGAGGAUGAUCAGCCACACUGGAACUGAGACACGGUCCAGACUCCUACGGGAGGCAGCAGUGGGGAAUAUUGGACAAUGGGCGCAAGCCUGAUCCAGCCAUACCGCGUGGGUGAAGAAGGCCUUCGGGUUGUAAAGCCCUUUUGUUGGGAAAGAAAUCCAUCUGGUUAAUACCCGGGUGGGAUGACGGUACCCAAAGAAUAAGCACCGGCUAACUUCGUGCCAGCAGCCGCCGUAA